GCUAGGGUUAGGUCUCCCGGCUCCCUUCGGGAAGCCGAGCAAAUAAUGAUUGCUUCUUGCUUGAUUACAUUGAUACAUCUCCUCUUCUUAUAUAGAGAGGUUUACUUGACUCCUAAGCAAACAAUCCUAAUAACAUAAGAUAAUUGGGCUAAGUCCUUAAUAACGAUAAGAUAACUUGGGUCACAACCCACUAGGCUAAGCCCCUAAUAUGCCGGUCAUAACACCCUAAAAUUGGAUUAUGUUGUCUGCAAUGCCACCACUAAGAAAUGGGUGUCCGUGCCUGCCACCGACUGGUCCAGCAAGGUGGGCGUCGCUCGCCUCGGAUUUGACCCGGCCAUUACUUCCCACUUCCGUGUAUUCGAGUUCAUAGAUGAGGAGGCGUUGGGUAUAUCCGAGGACAAGCAAAACGACGAGUUGUAUUGAUGCAUCCACACACUAGCAAUUUACUCGUCCAAAGCUGGAGUUUGGAAAUAUCAAACAGUUGAGCAUGGACCAUUUGCGAUACCCAAGAAUUCACCUGGCUCAUUUUUAAACGGGAUCCUUAAUUUGGCUGCCUAUAAUAAUUUAAUUGUAGCUGUUGAUGUGGAAGGAGAUAAUUGGUCACUUGUUCAUAUUCCUAAGCCACCGUACUAUGCUGAUGAUAUCAAUGGCAUAUUUCCAUCACAGGGACAGUUGUAUUUUGCAAAUAGUCCUGCUGAUUCUGAUGGUUCUGAAUUGUCAAUCUGGGUUCUUGACGACUUCGUUACAGGAAAAUGGAGUUUGAAACACAAUCUGUGUUUUAUAUGUCAACUUGGAUCUGAGUGUAGAGCUGAAUUGCCUGGCUGUGGUGACAAGACUCUUUUUUAUCCACACGUUCCCUUGUUCUCAGAGUCAUUGGCAGAUAUGGACUAAAUGUCUAUGCAACGCUGUUUUUUUUGUGAACAUGGUUCUGAAUGUGAGGUUUGAUGGCUUGGCUGCUGCACACUGCAGAUUCAUAACUGUCCAUGUUUCUGACACUAUUGAAGUUAAGUCUGGAAUCUGGGUAGCGGUAACUGGCGUAGACAUUUAUCAAGUUGUGAGAGUAUAUGUUGGUGCUUGAGCACCCUCAUGUCCUGAAUAUUGCAGUUAACUUAGUGACUGAACUUGUGUUUGUAUAAUUGUAUAUAUUCAUGGCUGUUACAGCCAAUAAAGUUGUAACACCCUGCUACUUUAAUCAUGGAUAUAAUGAUCAUUUUGUUGAACCA